rnacentral:rRNA from 1 species
GACGAACGCUGGCGGCGUGCUUAACACAUGCAAGUCGAACGAAGAGCGAUGGAAGCUUGCUUCUAUCAAUCUUAGUGGCGAACGGGUGAGUAACGCGUAAUCAACCUGCCCUUCAGAGGGGGACAACAGUUGGAAACGACUGCUAAUACCGCAUACGAUCUGACCUCGGCAUCGAGGAUAGAUGAAAGGUGGCCUCUAUUUAUAAGCUAUCACUGAAGGAGGGGAUUGCGUCUGAUUAGCUAGUUGGAAGGGUAACGGCCCACCAAGGCGAUGAUCAGUAGCCGGUCUGAGGGGAUGAACGGCCACAUUGGGACUGAGACACGGCCCAGACUCCUACGGGAGGCAGCAGUGGGGAAUCUUCCGCAAUAGACGAAAGUCUGACGGAGCAACGCCGCGUGAGUGAUGACGGCCUUCGGGUUGUAAAGCUCUGUUAAUCGGGACGAAAGGCCUUCUUGCGAAUAGUUAGAAGGAUUGACGGUACCGGAAUAGAAAGCCACGGCUAACUACGUG